GUGCCAGCAGCCGCGGUAAGACGAACCGUCCAAACGUUAUUCGGAAUUACUGGGCUUAAAGGGUGCGUAGGCGGCGAGGAAAGUAGGGUGUGAAAUCCCUCGGCUUAACCGAGGAACUGCGCUCUAAACUACCUUGCUCGAGGGAGACAGAGGUGAGCGGAACUUAGGGUGGAGCGGUGAAAUGUGUUGAUAUCCUAAGGAACACCGGUGGCGAAGGCGGCUCACUGGGUCUCUUCUGACGCUGAGGCACGAAAGCUAGGGUAGCGAACGGGAUUAGAAACCCCUGUAGUCC
rnacentral:rRNA from 1 species